AGCACUGUGGUAUCUGCAGCCAGCAUGUUUCAUCAGCUGGCUGUUUAAAUGACUGUGCAAGAGAAAUUCAGCAUAAGGCAUUGUUGGUCUCCCUGCUGCUCAUGUUUGGAGUCCUGGUAUAAUGUCUGAAACAAGC